AAUAGAUACCCAGGUAGUCCACGCCGUAAACGAUGAGUGCUAAGUGUUAGAGGGUUUCCGCCCUUUAGUGCUGCAGCUAACGCAUUAAGCACUCCGCCUGGGGAGUACGGUCGCAAGACUGAAACUCAAAGGAAUUGACGGGGGCCCGCACAAGCGGUGGAGCAUGUGGUUUAAUUCGAAGCAACGCGAAGAACCUUACCAGGUCUUGACAUCCUCUGACAACUCUAGAGAUAGAGUGUUCCCCUUCGGGGGACAGAGUGACAGGUGGUGCAUGGUUGUCGUCAGCUCGUGUCGUGAGAUGUUGGGUUAAGUCCCGCAACGAGCGCAACCCUUGAUCUUAGUUGCCAGCAUUUAGUUGGGCACUCUAAGGUGACUGCCGGUGACAAACCGGAGGAAGGUGGGGAUGACGUCAAGUCAUCAUGCCCCUUAUGACCUGGGCUACACACGUGCUACAAUGGAUGGUACAAAGGGCUGCAAGACCGCGAGGUCAAGCCAAUCCCAUAAAACCAUUCUCAGUUCGGAUUGUAGG
rnacentral:rRNA from 1 species